rnacentral:rRNA from 1 species
AGAAUCAACGCUGGCGGCGUGCCUAACACAUGCAAGUCGAACGAGAAAGUGGUAGCAAUACCAUGAGUAAAGUGGCGCACGGGUGAGUAACACGUGACUAACCUACCCUUGAGUGGGGGAUAACUGAGGGAAACCUUAGCUAAUACCGCAUAAUACCCACGGAUCAAAGGAGCAAUUCGCUUUCGGAGGGGUCGCGGCUGAUUAGCUAGUUGGCGGGGUAACGGCCCACCAAGGCUUUGAUCGGUA